rnacentral:lncRNA from 1 species
AAUCACUGGGAAACUGUCUUAACAGCUCAGAGCUAGAGAAAAAUUUUAGAGUCUUUCAGUUUAAGAGCCAUGCUUAGAAUAUAAAUGGUCAAUUCUGGCAACUCCAAGUCAGGUAUUUACUACUAUUUAUUUGUAUGUGGAUGGGCCAGAUGUUCUCCAAACUUCAUUCCCUAAACUCUUGCUUAAAACGUUUUUUAAAGAAAUGCAGUCUGAAUACUUGUGCUAGUGAAUUGACAGUUGAUCCUUAUUUUUACUUAAAAAUGAAUAAAGAAGAGAGGUGACUCAUGAAUCUCAGGUAAUGGUCAGUGUAUUCCAUACUGAAUCUCUCUCUUCUUUCUUAUUAGGCCAUCUAAAAUAGUAUGUAUUUAUUUCUACAGCUUUUAUCUACUAUAAUAAUGUAUCAAAGUCUCUAUGACUAAAAUAUGAAGAUGCUAACCUUUGUUGCACUGGUAGUGUCAUUUCAAAUAUUAUCUUGCUAUGAAUUGAAGUGUAAAUAUAAGAGCCACAAAGGAAGAACCAUAAUUAAUAUACUAAGGCUAAGGAUUGCACAAGUUGAGGAUGGAUUAAUUUUCUUUGAGGUCAAACACUGAAAACUUACUUUAAGCUAUGACUUUAAGAAAAGGAAUAUUGAACUUUCAUAAAUGUUCUAUAUAUCAGUAAUUCUGCAAUCUCUUGAUAUUGGCAUAUGAUUUAUAGAGACAGCUGAAAAAAUAGAAAUCCAUUCAUUCUACAUUAAAAUGUUUAUUUUCUUUUAAAAUCAUGAAGUUAAAAAUGUAAAUCAUCUAUACUUCAAUUUAAAAAAAAAACAAAAUGAUAUGAAGUGAGAUUAGCCUCCAUUGUAGGAAAUAAGUACAUAGCAAUAAAAAAUUAUACUCCAUGUUCAAAGACAUUCAACCUUACAGUUAUUUAUACUAGAAUGUUCUUAAAACUAAAUCUUCAAAUAUAAUGUAACAGUGCCUUUAGAAUUAAAAAGCCCUCAGUCUUUCUAAGAAGGGAACUAAAUGUAAUAAUUUUUCAGUAUUUUAAAUAGUUAACAUUGUCACACAUAAAUAACCAACCAAUAUGAAAAGUAGGUACUCCUAUCAUUAUGAGAAAUAUACUUUCUUAGGCAUUUUUCAGAUUAUAAACCCGGUUCAACUCAGUUUUUAAAGAAAUUGAAUUUAAUUGCAGUAUAUGCUGAAAAUGAGUGAGUGUUCUCUAGUCUCCUUAAUGAUAAUUAAGAUUACCUCAUUUACUAUCACAGGAAAAGCAAGUUUAUACCUAUUUGGAAAGCCUUGGCCCUUGGCUCUUUGUGUAUUUGCAACUUAUAAAUGUUAAUCCCAGUGGAUCCCAGGGACUGGGUGAAGGCUCAUAGGCUAGAAACAAUUUUGUAAAAAGUGAAAAAAGCAGACAUCCUCCCUUAGCAAAGAACUUAAGAACUUUGAAAUAAAAUCUAAAAAUCUUGGCAUAUUAACUAAGACUUUGAAAGGCAAGUAUCCAUGUUUAAAUGUUGAUGUAUUUAUGAAUACUUUGCCUUAUAUAUUUUUCUACUUAAUCUAUACUGGUAAUAUAAAAUAAAAAUAAUGAUGAUGGAAAAAUAACUUGGGAGGCUAAGCCUGGAGGAUCAAUGAUAAGAAAAGAUCUUGAACAUGAGAUUUUUCUAAGACAGCAACCUGAGAAGGGGCUUUCACAUUCCCUGGGAGGAUCUCAGGACCCCGAGCCUGCGUAACAUCAAAAAAAAAAAAAAAAAAAAUGUUUACUUCAGACUUAAGGUUGGCAUUUUAAUGUGCAUUAUUCAGUGAACACAGAUCACUGUCUUAAUAAAUUUGAGAAAUGAAACUAUUUUUAAAGUAUUUCACAAUUAUAAUCUUCAUCUUCAAAGCACAAAAGAUAAAUCAGAGUUUGUAUAACAUUCAUAUAUGCUCUGUAUAAAUAUUAAUCCCAAUUUAUAGACAGUAAAACUGAGAAAAAUUCUUUAAUAACUUCAGAGACAACUGAAAAGAAGUAUAGUUUUGUUUUCCACAAUUUUGUUUAUAGAAAUAUUGUUACAUUAGACAAAAUUAUCUAAUAAAUAAAGUAUUACAGGUAUGUUGUUUUUAUAAUUGCAAAUAUUUUCCUAGCAAUAAUUCUUAAGAUAUCUUUUAAAGAUGACAUCAACUCAUAUUCUAAUUUUUUUGCUUUUUGUUUUAUUGAAGGAUAGUUGAUUUACAAUAUUAUGUUAGUUUCAGGUAUACAACAUAGUGAUUCAAUAUUUUUAUAAUUAUACCCCAUUUAAGAUUAUUAUAAAAUAUUGGCUGUAUUCCUUGUGCCGUACAAUAUAUUCCUGUAGCUUAUUUACUUUAUACAUAAUAAUUUGUACCUCCUUUGUAGUUUUUUUAUUUUUAUUAUCUAGAAAAAAUAAUACAGUUCUUAAGAGACCUCAAAAAUAUAUUACUUUAAGAAUUAAGAAUCCCCAGAUCUUUUCCUGACUCUGUCAUCAACAAUUAUAUGACUUUGCUUGGUUGAUUGAAAGCUUAACUCUUACAUGUGUGGCGCAUAAUGGAUCCUGCAGAUGUUUCUCAAAUAGUAGAGAAUGAAAUGACUCUCAUAGAAGAAAAUGAAUUAUGCUUACCGUCUUUGCACUUUGAUAUGCAAGUUGUCUUUAAAUCUUACAAAUCAAUCUAAUCCACAACAUUCUUCUUUAAAAUGAGGCCAAAACUGAAUCGGAAUCUUAGCUUUAGAAAAUGCAUCUACCCCAGAAAAGUUUGGGUUUUUUUUUUUUAAUCUUCAGAACAAGGGAAUAAGUGGUAUCUUCCUUCUGUAGUUGUCUUUCUGCUUUGUUUCUUAGAUGCGCACGUAACUGGGAAAAUACUAAUUACAUUUCAAGGAUCUGCAAAAUAUCUAUUGUGUUGUCUGAUGAAACUUCUACAAGACUUUGAAGGUUUGUGUAAGGGAGUUCCUAGAAAUUUGCUGUUUAUUGAAGGUAACUGAAUAAAUAUAUCUUAGAUCAGAUUGGAAAGUAGCCUAGUGACAUUUUGCGAAGUUUAUCCAACAUCCUAGUCCAGAAUUUUUCUGUACUACAUUUUUUAUAGGUGAUAAUCUAGCCUGUGUUUCAACUCUUCCAAUGAAGAAAUCAUUCUUUUGUUAGAUAACUGGAAGCCUCAAAAAAUACUUCUCUGUGUUAUUUAAAAUCUACUGUUAUAUAACUUGUAGCCUUUUCUUCGUUUCUCCCCUUGGAAGGAAGAGAGGCUAUGCCAUUACAUGUUUCUUGUGCUAAUGCUUUAAACACAUGUACAGAUGUCAUGUCAUCCCUAGUCUACUCAGAUUUUCACCAGGUGUUCUCAUGUACUCUUCAUGUUAUAGUUUGUUAAGUCUUCGCUAUCCUGAUAGUCCUUAGUGCUCUCAUUGUGUUUGCCAGUGUCUUUCAAAGUAUAUGACUCAAACUACAUACAAUAUCUUAAAUUGUUAUAAGUCUAGAAGUGAACUAUUACCAUCUCUGACAUGGAACCUUUGUUCAAUUGAUGCAGUCAAAAAACAUAACAUUUUUAAGCAGUCAUUUCAACUUUUGCCUUAUAAUGAGAUUGUAGUUUACUGUUUUAGUUGUCCGUUGCUUUAUAAAAAAAAAAAAAAAUUACCCCCAAAUCUAGUGGCUGAAAACAACAACAAACAGUUAUUAUCUUUCACAGUUUCUGUGGCUCAGGAAUUUAAGGGCAGCUUAGCUGGGUAAUCCUGGUUUAGUGUCUCUUACGAGGUUAUGGGUAAAAUCUCAGCUAUAUCUACAGUCCUCUGAAAGCUUGACUGGAGCCGCCUCCAGGAUUUGCCUCUAGGAUGGCUCACUUACAUGGCAGUCAAGUUCAUGCUGGCUCAGAUCAUUACCACAUGGCUCUGUCAUUAGGGCAGCUGGAGUGUCCUCAUGAAAUGACAUGAUCUCUGACUUCUUCAAGAGUGAGUUGUCCAAGAGAGAGCAAGGCAGAAGCCGCAAUUAUCUUUUAUGUCCUGGUCUUAGGAACCACGUAUUGUCAUUUCCAUAAUAUGCUAUUGAUUAUACAAGCCAAUGUGGGGAAGGAAGGACUACACAGGGGCGUGAAUACCAAGAAGCAAGAAUUACUUGAGCACCAUAUUGAAGGUUGACCCAGGAGUCUAUCCUCUAUCUCUCAUUGACUAAUCUCCCUCCCACAGGUAAAUGAUACUCACACCUCAAAGCCACCAAAAGUUUCAACCCAUUACAGCAUCAUUUCAAAGGCUAGAAUCUUGUCAUCUCAACCAGGCUCAGAUGUGGAUGAAGCUUUCUAGGUGCAGUUCCUUGAGCAUAGCUCCUUGAGAACAGUCCUUUGAGCUGAAGACCUGUGAAUUAAAGAGAAAUGAUCUCUGUCCACCCACUGCCAACCCACAGACACACACCCAACAUUCAGUGGUAGAGCAGGAAUAGGAUAACCGCUAUAGACUUUACUCUUCAAAGGACAGAAAACAAGAGGAAUACAGGAAUCACCAAUCCAAGGUAAUUCUGUAGUCCAGCUAGACAAAUAUUGGAAGUUCUUUCACUAGAACUUAUUCCUACUGCUUCUUGGGAUAUUUGCCAUGACCCUUGGCUCUGAUCUUUAAACUCUUGGUGUCUGCCUUCUGGUCAACUUAUUUUUCAGUGAAAGGUAGCCUGUGUGGAAGCUGUGUAGUUUUCUCAGCCUGAUUCCUGCCUUUAGGUCCAAAGGCAUCUUUUCCUUUUGUUUUUAUCUCUGUUCUUUUUAGUCCAUGCAGCUGAUGUUUCUAACAAUUAAAUAUUUUAAAAUAUGUAUAGGUCUCCUGUGAAUCUUCCUGGGGUUUACUCCAUUAUACAAAAACCACAUCUACAAAUCUGUUUGAGAUAAUCCCUUAUCUAUUUAGAGUUUCUACUGGGAUUACUGAUAGACAGUACCCUUAAGCUUCUUGGAAGUCCUAAUGUCUGACUGAAUAGCUCUCUUGAGUCAUAAUCUUAGAUAUUGCCAAGAUCUUAACAAAAGAUUUGACAAUCGUAUUCUCAGCUUUAUUUUUAUACUAUGAUAGCCUAACAGUGCCUGGAUUUGAUCUUCGUUCAGAAGCCAUUACUUUGUUUUUGCAUUGUCUCCCAUCUUGAGAGGAUGGCAAGUUUCAAGAUGAACAAGUCUUGGCUUUUUUGGUUUAGCAAUUCUUCCUUUAGCUUAUUUCCUCUUCUCUCAUUUGACCAUAACCAGCAAGAAGAAGUCAAGCAGAACCUUUAACACUCUGACUCAAAAACCCUUUUACUAGGUCAUUCAUUUUAUUAGAUACAUUUUCCAGUUCCCCCAUCACUGCAGAUGACAGUGUUGCCCAACCUUCUGCCAUUCUAUUAAAACUAUCCUCUUUGCCUCCAGUUUCCAGUAAUAUUUUCCUCACCAGCAGCCUCCUCAAAGUCCAUUGGUCUUAUGGAAACAAUCUGUUCUUCGACUUCCACUAACACUUUCUUCAGUGUUUUGUAGAUUCUGCCACUGCUUAAUUCUAAUACCACUCCCAUUCUUUUAAGAUUUGUUAUGGCAGCAACCUAACUACAAAUGCAGUAUCUACUACUAUGUAGCAAGUUACGGCAAAAUUUAGUGGCUGAGAAAAACAAUAAACCUUUGAUAUCUCAGUUUAUGUGAAUCAGGAAUUUGGGAGCAGCUUAGCUUAGUGGUCCUAGUUCAAGGUCUAUCAUGGAGUUGGUUUCAAGAGAGUAGCUGGUAGGUUCUGCUUCAGAGAUGUCCCUCACAUGGCUGAAAAGUUCAUACUGGCUGUUGGAAAGCAGCCUCAGUUCCUUAUUGCGGAACUGCAAGAUGUGAAUUACACAACCCUGCUACAGGAGCUUACUAAAGCACAGCAUCUCUCCAUUCCUCAUGCUGCUCAAAAACCUCACUCCCAUCCACUCAGUGUUGGUACAGUUUAGCUUUCAAUGAUUGCCACAUUCUAGCCACAUUUAGCUUGUCAGUCUUAUCAUCCACUACUUCCUCAGACUGGAUUAUUCUUGGUUCAUCAGACUCAUCCCACAGCUGCUAUUAAGUCCUUUUUAAAAAUUAAUUUAUUUUUAAAUGAUUUUUAUAUUUUCCAUUAUAGCUGCUUUACAGUGUUGUCAAUUUUCUGCUGUACAGCAAAGUGACCCAGUCACACAUACAUAUAUACAUUCUUUUUCUCACAUUAUCCUGCAUCAUACUGCAUCAUAAGUGACUGGAUAUAGUUCCCAGUGCUAUACAGCAGGAUCUCAUUGCUUAUCCAUUCCAAAGGCAAUAGUUUGCAUCUAUUAAUCCCAGAGUCUUUAUUGUGCUUUUUCCUCUGCCUGAAAUGAUCUCCCUCCACUUCUAUUAAAACCCUACCCAUCGUUCAAAGUCAAAAUCAAAAGGAAUCUCAAAUAUGAUGACUUCAUCCUCCCAACCAGAAGU